AUCCACCCUCUUUCGGGGCCCAACGUCUUCGCUAACCCUCAUUCCUCUCUCUAAUUGAUAUGAGAUCUCACAAGAAGGGUAGCUGUCCUCUAUCAUGUUAGGGAAUAGGAUUAAGAAGAUGGGUGAAAGGAGACUGAAAAUAGUACCGACCAAAUUACUUCUUGGACAGUAACAGAGAAGAAGGAGAAGGGCCUCUUGCUGUACUGAAUUAUACUAUCCAGAUUUUGUCUCAUGAGGCUGGCGGUCCUCGGGUCUGCAUCAAAGAUGGGAUGUACUUGAUGGCAUUCUGUGACAAUAUAGAUAAUUGGUGUUAAUGACAAGGAAAGGGAAAGUUCACUUUCUGGAAAAGGAAACUUUGCUGAAAUUGUGAGGGAAGAUGCAAAUUUAGCCAAAUGCUAAAAAUGGAUUAAUGGGGUUGGAGUUUCUUAAUGUUUUAUGGUCUGUGUUGAUCAGGUAGAGCAGAUUUUGGAGCAACUUUUACAAAGUUUGGACCAAAAUGGCGUGCGUGCUUCAUUCAUCCUCUUCCAGGAAAAAUCUCGAACCAUUCUGUGUAGGCAAGUUUAAGAUACAUCCAAUUUACAGGUAGACUUGUGGCCCUCCUCCUUUGUAGAUAUGAAGUAUGCCCAAACUCUUUUUUCUUCCUUUCUUUUUCAAUAUGCCCUUUGCAUACGUUUCUUUCACGCUAGGAGAACCCUUUUCUAUAUUUGACACUAUUGUCGUUUCUUUGUGAAUGCAUCUCUGUUCUGGAAUA